rnacentral:rRNA from 1 species
UACGGAGGGUGCAAGCGUUGUCCGGAUUUAUUGGGUUUAAAGGGUGCGUAGGCGGCUAUUUAAGUCAGUGGUGAAAUCCUGCAGCUCAACUGUAGAAUUGCCAUUGAUACUGGAUAGCUUGAGUACAGACGAGGUAGGCGGAAUUUAUGGUGUAGCGGUGAAAUGCAUAGAUACCAUCAAGAACACCGAUUGCGAAGGCAGCUUACUAGGCUUUAACUGACGCUGAGGCACGAAAGCGUGGGGAGCAAAC